ensembl:lncRNA
AAGCAAAAGCGGUGAACCCACCUGCUCUGGGAAAAUAAACCAGAGAGGAGGUACACUAUGGGAGCAGCCGGAACUGGAGUGGAUGACUUCAGCUGCAAUGUGCUGCAGAGACCCAGAGCAGUGCUCAGCAGGAUGACCUCUGCCAGAUCAAUCUUCAGCGAGAGAACAUCUCACAAAGCAACUGCCCCACCUCCACCUGUCAUUUCUUGAGGAAGACCUACAGAAAAUCAUAGAAUCAUAGAACCACAGAAUGGCCUGGGUUGAAAAGGACCACAGUGAUCAUCCAGUUUCAACCCCCCUGCUAUGUGCAGGGUUGCCAACCACCAGACCAGGCUGCCCAGAGCCACAUCCAGCCUGGCCUUGAAUGCCUCCAGGAAUGGGGCAUCCACAACCUCCUUGGGCAACCUGUUCCAGUGUGUCACCACCCUCUGUGUGAAAAACUUCCUCCUAAUAUCUAACCUAAACCUCUCCUGUCUCUGUUUAACAAGCCUAGGAAAUAAUAUUCAACUCUGUUGGCUACUAAAAGUCAGCAGCUCAGCAGUGCCACGUGCUUCACGCUGUCCUGCAGUGCUUCAUGCACCCUGCAUCUACUGAUCCCUCUGUCCUCAGGUGCUCCCUGCCUGGUGCUGCCACAGGACACAUCCCACCUGUCCUUGCCACCACCCUCUGUGGUCCACAGGUGUCGCCUGCUUAUGCUUUUACAGUGAUUUUACUAAAGGUAAACUGAACUCAAAGCGAUCACUCCUCACCAGCAUCAUGACAUUUGCAGCCUCUGUCUCAGACUGGUAAAAGAGCUCGUCUGGCCAAGGUUGACAUACAGUUUUUGAGAGCCUAAUCAAAAAUUAGAGCUACAAUCAUUUCUUGUCUGUGUCCUGAGGCCUUCAGAGCCGUUACAAGAGUAAAUAAGUGAUCAGACAUAUCCUUUUCUCGUCGUCGCAGCAAGGCUUAGGCUCCCUUCUGGAAGGGAGCAGCUCAUAACAAAGGCAGAGCGAUUCCUCUGCUAUCUCUGGUGGUUUUUGCAAAUGUGAAAGAUGUGCAGACAUAGCAGAGAAAAAAGAUAGCAAGUAAGCGCAGACAAACAUAGACGUCUUCACAGGAGGAAAAUUCCCCCACCCCAGUACAGACUUUUGGCUGAAGGAUAAUGUCUUUGUUCCCGGAUCCAAGAUGCUGUCACUCCCGUUUCAUUAUUCCUCCUCUAAAAGAAACAGACUUUUCACAUUCUUUGUAAAUGAAAAGGAUUGCAUUAAGUAAAAAACCUGUUUAUUGUUAGCUUUUCUUCUUAACAGAAACUGCCUGCAGGGUCCCUCGCUGUGGCCAGCAGUUUGACAGAAAGCAGUAAUAGUCCUGUGAGUGAAUCCAGUGUGGUAUGUGCAUCCUUAUUAGCCAGGAUUAAUGAAAAUGAAGAAGAAGGAAGUUGUGCUGGGUGGAUGCUGGAGCAUUUGGGCAUUUUGGAACUGAUCAGCUAGUUGAGUUUUGAUAAGUUUGCAGAUAAGUGCUCCAGGACACCAUCAAGCCUCUCUCUCCACAUAGGUUACAGCUCCAGGUCGUUAGAAGCCUGAAAGUCCUCUUUGCAAAGAUUAAAUCUGCCUCCUCCUCUACGAAUACUGGCACUGUAAGAAAGACUGCAAACUUAGGAACAUCCCAACCUGUCUUACAAAAGCGAGACUGCGCAUCAAAAUGUUAUAUGCUAUUCAUUACCAACAUUUUAAAGAGCUCAGGAAGACUUCCACACACGAGCUGAAGAAGAACAGCCCAUGCAGCUGGACCUCACGUUGUCCCAUGUUUAAAAGUCGUUAGAGGGACAAAAUGUAAAGUAACGUGAUGGGGCUGUCUUGCAAAUGAGUGGAAGUUGGAAAAUAUAACACUUCAAAUAGGACCAUCUCUUCCAGGACUGAAUGCUUGAUGAUACAGAGGUACAGUCCUUAGGUGGCGUAGACCUUUUCAUCGUCUCAGGUGAAGACUGCAGGGUUACAGAGAUGUGAAAUUAGGCCAUGGGAGAGAAUAACUGUAUAAAAUAAGCACCUGAUGAUGAGUGUCACAGUGGCAUAGCUGGUGGUUCAAACGUGUGGCACCUUGGCAGCAGGGUCCUCUGGCUUGGAGCUCCAAGAAAGCCUUGGUGUAUAACUGUUUUAUGAGACUUCUCGUGUCCGUCGCCAUGAACUUAUCAGAAACACUGGUCUUAUCACCGUGAGAUAGUACUAUUUAUUAAGGCUUAUAGUGUAACAACUGACACUCCUCACACUGUGUAUAAACUCUCCUUCGAAGUCUAAAGAUUUAUAAAAAGAGAGUGAGGAAACACAGAUACUGGGGGGAUGGAAAGCUGUCAGCGAGAGCCCUUUGGCUGAGCCUGUCCUGUCGCCAGGAGGGUCUGUGCUCUCAGAACACAAGCACCAGAGAAGAGCAGCUCCAAAACCCAAUGGCUGCAUUGCUGCAGGCCACCGGCAUUGGUCUCUUUAAGCAAGCAGCGAGGGCAGAGGGGGUGAAAGAUGGAGCCUGCCCAUCACCUGUGCCAUGUGGCUGAGAUGGAGCCAUGGGGAACCCGAGAAGAAACAAAGGCAUGGGGAUCAUUUUAAAAGCUCCCUUUCAUGGUCUGAGAGUUCACAAGCUCAGCAAACAAUCAUUUCUCUGUGGGUUUUGCUGGAGUUAAGUGGAAGGCUGUAAGGAGUCCUGCCACCUCUCACAGAGCCACAGCUUCAGGGGCUUCUGUGCUUCAGCCCUGCAGUCUCAAGCCCGUGUUGGAACAGGACCAGAAUGAAGCCCUGACAUAUGUUGCAGCCAAAGAUUUCCCAGGGUUCCCAAGACGGUUGCGGGAAGCCAAGCGUUCUUAAAUUCUUCGGAAAAUCCCAAAUGCGCCCAUGAUGACAAAGGGCAGCUUCUGGUCUCACCCAAAUAGCAACCAGCUACAAGUCAGUCUAUUUGUCCUUCCCGUGACAUCUUAACAGCAGAGAUUAUGCAGAAGGCACUUUGCCAAUCUGUGCUGGCUCUUUCUGCAGCUGGUUGAUAGAGAAAGGAGUGGCUUCAACCAUCCGGCCCAAGGUUCUUUCAGCAUAACCUGCAUUCACUCAGCGAUUUGCUAACUGGAUAAAAAGUCUUGGUAACAUUCAAGACAGCAUGGCUUCACAGUGACAGCUAGCAGACAGCAAGGUAGUGUGGCUUUUACUGUUCCACGCAUUCUCCCUACAUGCGCUAUGAUUACUUGCAGCAUUAAAAUAGUUUUUCCUUCUGGUUCUCAUUUUGCUAUCACCAUUAUUCACAGUAUGGCUGUGCCCACAUCUGGAUGUCUGGUGGUACGUACUACUCUAUGUGGUAGUGCCCAGUGGCCAGGAACCUGCUGUGGUAGGUGCUGGGCUCUCAGGCAGAAGCAACACCUGCCCUGAAGAGUUCAUGACUGCAAUGGAAUAUUAACAUGGAAAGAAAACAUUAAAUUUGCAGCUGAAUGCAGUCUAGAUUCAAAUGAAGGAGAGGCAGUAAGAAUGACCAGAGCCAGUUCUUCACUCCCACUUGCUUCUUCAGACUUGGCUUACAGGAAGGAGUCCUAGACAGUAUUAUGCAGCUGAGACCAUUUUUUUAGCUGUUUCUGGCAAAAGGGGCGUUGAAGAACCAGUAGCUGAGGAUUUAAUGGAUUAUUUAGGACAGAUUUACAUCUCUUUGCAUGCUUUGAGUGAUACAAAGAAGGUAAGUGCCAUGAUAUCAGUGAAAUAACGUUGUUCUUGUUAGCUGCUCACAGUCUACUCCAAAACUGUAGUUAUCGCGGCCUCUUUUGCCUCAGAUUAAAGCACCACAGUCACAAAAUGCCUGAGGACCACAUGAGCUGAAAGCCUGAAGUCUCAUUCUUGCUUGUUACUGUGCAAAGUCACUGGCUCCCGGAUCAAACGCAUCAUUACUGCAGGAGACACAAAAUCAAAGCUCUACCAUCUAUGAUCAUAAUCUGUCUAGGGAUAUAUAUUUCCCAUUUCAAAGGUGUUAAUCUUAAGAUAAUGGACAACUUCUGACCCCAGUAAUGAGUUCUCUGCCUUCAGAAAUUCCUUCUAUUUCAAAAAAUACAGCAGUUGCAAUUUGAGUGAGUUUUUUCUUUGCUUUUUGUUCUAAAGUUGUGGUGUGGUUCCGCACUGUGGGGACCAGGCAGACUUGGUCAGACAAUUCUAACUAAAUUAUCUUCCCACAGAAAUGUCUUACUUUCCCUUUUUGAAGCUACUUUUUCCUGAUAAAGUAUAUGCUAUGCCAGGGAAAGUGGGGACAAGCUAGCUCUCUCUGGUCUGAAGAUCAAGGCACCCCUCUUAGAUGGAAUAGUUCCAGGUUCAGGUUCAAUACUUCAUAACCAGACAAAUAGCUGAUAUUUUCUCGUGACUGUUUAGAAAAACAGAAGCCCAGCCAGACAAAACCUAGAAAGACCUUGAUGGCAUGAAAAGCAUUUCACAUCCCUCUCAAUUGGUAGGUUGGUUUCAUAUCAGCAACAGUAACUUGCAGCUGGGGUGAACUUUCCCUUAGCAGCCCUUCCCCUUAGCAUCAGAGUCUUUUAGUUUGGAAGAGACCCUGGAAAUAUUCUCAUCCCUCCUCCCACUCUAAGCAAGUCCAAUUGAAAUCAGGUGCCUCAGGACCUUGUCCAGUUAAGGUUUGAAUACUUCAGCCAGUUCUGGAGUAUAGGACUCAGUUCUGCUGCUUAAGAGUUAAGGAGAUAUAUUACAGUGGGGCCACUAUUUCACUUUAUUUUAUGAUCCAAAAGCUCAACAAAAAUUACUUUAAUCCAUGGCAUUUAUGCUGCAUAACUCCAGAAGCACACUGCAUACGUGCACUGACAGAGGCAUUUGGGGUAAUCCAUAAACACUGCACUGCCAUCAGCUAGAACAGGAGUCAUUUCCUCUCCCUAACCCAGUACUUGCAAGGUCUCUGGAAGACUCUGUGGUUAUAUCUCAUGCUCAUCAGUCUUUCUGAAACUACACUGCCUGUGACGUGCAGAGCGCACACAGGCCUUUCUUCUUCAUUGCUGGAACAGAGGAUAAAAAGAGGAUAAAACAUACCUGGCAGGUAAAUCAAGCAAACAAUGCAGAAUUUAUGAUUCCCCUUCUUAAUAUUCACGGAGUAUACAUUGCAGAAUAAUAUAAUUCCUCACAAAAAAGCACUCAGAUCAAUAUAAACAGAAUAUAAACAUGAAUCUGGAAAAUAAAGACAGAGUCACUGACAGCUCCUGAGGUAGGGUGUUAUUAGGAAGGAGUGAGGGAACAACAGAACCAAAUUUUUAUGUUUCAAAGGAUCUAAAUUCAUUAUUCCCAAUCAGAUGGUGCUUUUCCCUACAGAAAGACACCUCUAGUUCACUUUGUUUAGACUUUCCAUUUUCUACUCAGGUGAGGUGGCUCACCCACUCUCCCAUCCCUACGGAGAGCUGGCUUUACCUUCACUUGCUUUCCAACGUACCACUCAGGAGAAUUUUUCUGCUUUCAGUAGCUGGUCUUCAAAUCACUCCAUUAUUAAAACUCCAACUUUAUUUUUGCAAUACAAACAAAAUACACGCUGAGUUUAAAGCUAGAGGUGUUGCAAGCAGAGCGUUUUAAUCAAUAUUUAAUUUAGCUGGACUCAUCACUUAAGAGCGAGUAGCCAAGUUCCACACAUUAAGAAUGGUCUUUUGCAAUGCCCAUCUUGACAAGCAAGCUUUACCAUCGC